rnacentral:rRNA from 1 species
GUGGCCCUACGGGGCGCAGCAGUGAGGAAUAUUGGUCAAUGGGCGAGAGCCUGAACCAGCCAAGUCGCGUGAAGGAUGACGGCCCUACGGGUUGUAAACUUCUUUUGUCAGGGAGCAAUUGAGUCCACGUGUGGGCUUAGCGAGAGUACCUGAAGAAAAAGCAUCGGCUAACUCCGUGCCAGCAGCCGCGGUAAUACGGAGGAUGCGAGCGUUAUCCGGAUUUAUUGGGUUUAAAGGGUGCGUAGGCGGAAUGUCUAGUCAGCGGCA